UACGAAGGGGGCUAGCGUUGUUCGGAAUUACUGGGCGUGAAGCGCGCGCAGGCGGUCUUCCAAGUCAGUGGUGAAAGCCCGGAGCUCAACUCCGGAACUGCCAUUGAAACUGUAAGACUUGAGGAUGAGAGAGGUGAGUGGAAUUCCCAGUGUAGAGGUGAAAUUCGUAGAUAUUGGGAAGAACACCAAUGGCGAAGGCAGCCCGCUGGGACGGUACUGACGCUGAGACGCGAAAGCGUGGGGAGCAAACAGG
rnacentral:rRNA from 1 species